UACGUAGGGGGCGAGCGUUGUCCGGAUUCAUUGGGCGUAAAGAGCUCGUAGGCGGUUCAGUAAGUCGGGUGUGAAAUCUCCGUGCUCAACACGGAGCGGCCACCUGAUACUGCUGUGACUCGAGUCCGGUAGGGGAGUGUGGAAUUCCCGGUGUAGCGGUGAAAUGCGCAGAGAUCGGGAGGAACACCCGUAGCGAAGGCGGCACUCUGGGCCGGUACUGACGCUGAGGAGCGAAAGCGUGGGGAGCGAACAGG
rnacentral:rRNA from 1 species